GUUUCGGCAAGGGGGUCGAUCCCGACUUACCAACCCGAUGCAAACUGCGAAUACCGGAGAAUGUUAUCACGGGAGACGACACGGCGGGUGCUAACGUCCGUCGUGAAGAGGGAAACAACCCAGACCGCCAGCUAAGGUCCCAAAGUCAUGGUUAAGUGGGAAACGAUGUGGGAAGGCCCAGACAGCCAGGAUGUUGGCUUAGAAGCAGCCAUCAUUUAAAGAAAGCGUAAUAGCUCACUGGUCGAGUCGGCCUGCGCGGAAGAUGUAACGGGGCUAAACCAUGCACCGAAGCUGCGGCAGCGACACUAUGUGUUGUUGGGUAGGGGAGCGUUCUGUAAGCCUGUGAAGGUGUACUGUGAGGUAUGCUGGAGGUAUCAGAAGUGCGAAUGCUGACAUAAGUAACGAUAAAGCGGGUGAAAAGCCCGCUCGCCGGAAGACCAAGGGUUCCUGUCCAACGUUAAUCGGGGCAGGGUGAGUCGACCCCUAAGGCGAGGCCGAAAGGCGUAGUCGAUGGGAAACAGGUUAAUAUUCCUGUACUUGGUGUUACUGCGAAGGGGGGACGGAGAAGGCUAUGUUGGCCGGGCGACGGUUGUCCCGGUUUAAGCGUGUAGGCUGGUUUUCCAGGCAAAUCCGGAAAAUCAAGGCUGAGGCGUGAUGACGAGGCACUACGGUGCUGAAGCGACAAAUGCCCUGCUUCCAGGAAAAGCCUCUAAGCAUCAGGUAACAUCAAAUCGUACCCCAAACCGACACAGGUGGUCAGGUAGAGAAUACCAAGCGCUUGAGAGAACUCGGGUGAAGGAACUAGGCAAAAUGGUGCCGUAACUUCGGGAGAAGGCACGCUGAUACGUAGGUGAAGUCCCUCGCGGAUGGAGCUGAAAUCAGUCGAAGAUACCAGCUGGCUGCAACUGUUUAUUAAAAACACAGCACUGUGCAAACACGAAAGUGGACGUAUACGGUGUGACGCCUGCCCGGUGCCGGAAGGUUAAUUGAUGGGGUCAGCGCAAGCGAAGCUCUUGAUCGAAGCCCCGGUAAACGGCGGCCGUAACUAUAACGGUCCUAAGGUAGCGAAAUUCCUUGUCGGGUAAGUUCCGACCUGCACGAAUGGCGUAAUGAUGGCCAGGCUGUCUCCACCCGAGACUCAGUGAAAUUGAACUCGCUGUGAAGAUGCAGUGUACCCGCGGCAAGACGGAAAGACCCCGUGAACCUUUACUAUAGCUUGACACUGAACAUUGAGCCUUGAUGUGUAGGAUAGGUGGGAGGCUUUGAAGUGUGGACGCCAGUCUGCAUGGAGCCGACCUUGAAAUACCACCCUUUAAUGUUUGAUGUUCUAACGUAGACCCCUAAUCGGGGUUGCGGACAGUGUCUGGUGGGUAGUUUGACUGGGGCGGUCUCCUCCUAAAGAGUAACGGAGGAGCACGAAGGUUGGCUAAUCCUGGUCGGACAUCAGGAGGUUAGUGCAAUGGCAUAAGCCAGCUUGACUGCGAGCGUGACGGCGCGAGCAGGUGCGAAAGCAGGUCAUAGUGAUCCGGUGGUUCUGAAUGGAAGGGCCAUCGCUCAACGGAUAAAAAGGUACUCCGGGGAUAACAGGCUGAUACCGCCCAAGAGUUCAUAUCGACGGCGGUGUUUGGCACCUCGAUGUCGGCUCAUCACAUCCUGGGGCUGAAGUAGGUCCCAAGGGUAUGGCUGUUCGCCAUUUAAAGUGGUA
rnacentral:rRNA from 1 species